CAGCACCUCAAGUGGUCAGGAUGAUUAUUGGGCCUAAAGCGUCCGUAGCCGGUUUGAUAAAUCUUUUGUGAAAUUGUACAGCUUAACUGUACGGCGUGCAAGAGACACUGUCAAACUUGAGACCGGGAGGAGUCAGAAGUAUUCCAGAGGGAGCGGUAAAAUGUUAUAAUCUCUGGAGGACUACCUGUGGCGAAGGCGUCUGACCAGAACGGAUCUGACGGUGAGGGACGAAAGCUAGGGGAGCGAACCGGAUUAGAUACCCGAGUAGUCC
rnacentral:rRNA from 1 species